rnacentral:rRNA from 1 species
GAUGAACGCUGGCGGCGUGCCUAAUACAUGCAAGUCGAGCGAACGGACGAGAAGCUUGCUUCUCUGAUGUUAGCGUCGGACGGGUGAGUAACACGUGGAUAACCUACCUAUAAGACUGGGAUAACUUCGGGAAACCGGAGCUAAUAUCGGAUAAUAUUUUGAACCGCAUGGUUCAAAAGUGAAAGACGGUCUUGCUGUCACUUAUAGAUGGAUCCGCGCUGCAUUAGCUAGUUGGUAAGGUAACGGCUUACCAAGGCAACGAUGCAUAGCCGACCUGAGAGGGUGAUCGGCCACACUGGAACUGAGACACGGUCCAGACUCCUACGGGAGGCAGCAGUAGGGAAUCUUCCGCAAUGGGCGAAAGCCUGACGGAGCAACGCCGCGUGAGUGAUGAAGGUCUUCGGAUCGUAAAACUCUGUUAUUAGGGAAGAACAUAUGUGUAAGUAACUGUGCACAUCUUGACGGUACCUAAUCAGAAAGCCACGGCUAACUACGUG